UUUUGCAUUUCUGCUGCUGUUUGGGAUGUUCAAUUCACAGUUCACUUUGAAUGUUCAGAUUUCACUUCAAAUAUGUGAAAUCUCUUUCUGUCCCUGUUCUCCAGGUGUGUUUGGUGAUUCAGUGUCAGUGAUGGAGGGAGAUUCUGUCACUCUAAACACUGAUCUUACUGAAAUAUGUGAAGACGACGACAUACUGUGGAAAUAUGGAGCUGAAAACUCUCUAAUAGCUGAAAUCAAUAAAGAGAAACAAACCUUCCCUGAUGAGAGAUUUAGAGACAGACUGGAGCUGGACAAUCAAACUGGAUCACUGACCACACUGGACACUAUGAACUAGAGAUAAAUGGACCCAGGUGGUCAUCAAAAACAUUCAGUGUUUCUGUCUAUGCUCGUCUGCCCAUUCCUGUCAUUAUCAGAGAUUAUUCACAAAAUCUUUCGUCACCAUCAAGCCAGAACUGUUCAUUGUUGUGUUCAGCUGUGAAUAGGGUUGCCACCCGUCCCGUGAAAUACAACUGCAUUAACAAGAAUCACAGAUGCAGCAGAUCCCAACCACAGCUACAAUCACCAGAGAUCCAGCAGCAGCAGAGAUCAGCACUAUGUUAAAUAAAGGUAGACGCUGAUCUGCAAUGGACAAAAUGCGUCUGUCAGUCUGACCUCGAACAAGACUGAGAUCUCAGUGAUGAUUUAUUUUAGAGUCAAAAACAAUGAUAAUACGCAGCGUCUCUCACAAAUGUCUCCAUGGUUGCAAGGCACGCUCCAUGGUUCACAGGCGGUGCGUAAUAUCAUUGCGCCUGCUGCACCCAUGGUACGGCAGCAAAUUUCCUAAAUUAUUACACUAGAAUGAGAGUAUAGUUCCUAGCCAUAUCGGCCUAGAAUAUCGCAACUUUUCAUUUUUCAUCAGUCUUAGUUCACAAUGUAACAACAGAAGAGUUACAGUCUAUGGUUCAGACACAGGAAGACAGAACUCAUUCAGCGCUGUGUAAACCAACAACACGACAAAAGAAAUCAAAGACGGAGGCUGUGUACGAAAACGUGCCCAAAAAGCGAUGAUCAAAUAAUGUCUCUAUUCAGAUUUAUUCUCUGACAGGAUGACAUUUUUUUAUAUAUAUUUUAUUAUAUAUCAUACAUAAUUGACACUGUAUCAUGUAGUUCUGAAUAGUUUCAUCGUGUUUUGUGGCCUCCAGGACAUACAAUGUCAUCCUGUCUUGUCAUCUCAUCAGCUACGUCUGGGUUUCAGAUCUCCUGGCUCCUGGUUGUUGGGAGUAUUGGCUCCUCCCUUGCUCCUCCCUCCAUUGUUUCUGCCAUGGGCCUUCGUACUAACUGUGAUUUCCUCCUGACACCAAACUGCCUUUGAAACUGCCCUUUAUAUUAAUUAAAGCUGCUGUAUUAUUUGAGCAGAUACCUUUCUCUCGUCAUCCUUUGUGAACCAAUUUGUC